rnacentral:ncRNA from 1 species
CGAGAGAGUAGAAGCGUUCAUCGUGCCCUGCAACGGGGCGCGCCCGGGAAUUGCUCUCCGG